rnacentral:lncRNA from 1 species
CUAUUGCCUGAGAGCACAGCAGGAGGGACAAGGAUCGGGAUAUAAACCCAGGCAUUCGAGCCGGCAACAGCAACCCCCUUUGGGUCCCCUCCUUCCUAUGGGAGCUUUGUUUUCACUCUAUUUCACUCUAUUAAAUCUUGCACUGCACUCUUCUCGUCCAUGUUUGUUACGGCUCGAGCUGAGCUUUUCGCUCGCCGUCCACCACUGCUGUUUGCCACUGUCGUAGACCCGCCCCUGACUCCCAUCCCGCCACUGACUCCCAUCCCUCCAGAUCCGGCAGGGUGUCCGCUGUGCUCCUGAUCCAGCAAGACUCCGGUUGCCACUCCUGAUUUUGCUAAAGGCUUGCCAUUGUUCCUGCACGGCUAAGUGCCUGGGUUCGUCCUAAUUGAGCUGAACACUAGUCACUGGGUUCCACGGUUCUCUUCCAUGACCCACAGCUUCUAAUAGAGCUAUAACACUCACUGCAUGAUCCAAGAUUCCAUUCCUUGGAAUCCGUGAGGCCAAGAAUCCCGGGUCAGAGAACACAAAGCUUGCCACCAUCUUGGAAGCGGCCCACCACCAUCUUGGAAGCGGCUUGCCACCAUCUUGGGAACUCUGUGAGCAAGGGCCUCAGGUAACAUUUUGGUGACCACGAAGUGACCUCCAAAGCGAUGCGGAGUCUCACUGUGUUGCAAAUUCCUGACCUCAAGUGAUCUUCCUGCCUGGGCCUCAAAGUGCGGGGAUUAUACGCAGGGGCCACUGCUUUCAGCCUUUAAAUUCUGUUAAAAACAGCGUUGGUGAGGCAGCUGCAUAUGUUGGCAUGAUUGAUGAGAUCUGCUACAGUCAAGCAAGCAGCCCUGGGUGACCAGUUUACCCUUCCCUGCGAGGGUUCCAGCUGCCAGUUGCCCCCAUUCUGUGACAGCUUCUCCUUCUCCUCACCUUGUCAUCCAGCCAAGAUUGUACACUGUAGGAGUACAGUGGCAUCAGUGGAACUGCAGGUCAUGAUGUUAGAUGAAAGAAGACAAGAACUGAAAGACAAAUAUCUCAUGUUCUCACUCAGACCUGGAAGAAAAAAUAAUGCAUAUCCAUGGAAUCAACCCAAAUUCCCAUCAAUGAUAGACCUGAUAAAGCAAAUGUGGUACAUAUAUAACAUAGAAUACUAUUCAGCCAUAAAAAUGAACAAGAUCAUGUCCUUUGAAGAGACAUGAAUGGAGCUGGAAGCCAUUGUCCUCAGCAAACACAGGAACACAAAACCAAAGAUCGCAUGUUCUUAGUUAUAAGUGGGAGCUGAACAAUGAAAACACAUGGAUACAGGGAGGAGAACAACAUACACUGGGGCCUGUCAUCGAAGGGAGGGGAGGGAGUACAUCAGGAUAAAUAGCUAAUGCAUGUGGGGCUUAAUAUCUAGGUGAUGGAUUGACAGGUGCAGCAAACCACCAUGGCACACGUUUUCCUAUGUAACAAACCUGCACGUCCUGCACAUGUAUCUUGUAACUUAAAAUAAAGUAAAACUUUUUAAAAAAGUGCAUAUCACGAAAGUAGAGGGUAGGCUGGUGGUGUUAGAGUCCAGGAAAGAUAGGGAAAUAGGAGGGAUAAUGAGAGGUUAAUUAAUGUGUACAAAUAUUCAUUUAAGUAGGAGAAAUAAGACCUGGUGUUUGAUAGCUCAGUAGAGUGAUUAUAAUUACUAUUAGUCAAUUGUACAUUUCAAAAUAUCUAGAAAAGAAUAUUUCUAAUGUUCCUAGCAUAAAUAAGUUUAUAGGUAUCUCAAUUACCCUCAGUUGAUUAUCUGAACGUAUCAAAUAAUCAAAUAUACCAUAAAAAUAUGUACAUCAAAUAGAUAUCAAUUUAAAAAUCUAACAAUGAAGAAUAUUUCACUUUGAUUGUUGUAACCAGUUAAUCAUCUGUGAUUUUUUAAAUAGAAAUAUUUACUUUAUUAUUAUUAUUAUUAUUAGUUUAUUUUUUGAGACAGGGUCUUGCUCUGUCACCUAGGCUGCAGUUCAAUGGUGCAAACACAGCUCACUGUAACUUUGACUCCUGGGCUCAAGUGAUCCUCCACCUUAGCCUCUCAACUAGCUGAAACUACAGGUACAUGCCACCAUGACUAACUAAGAUUUUGUCCUUUUUGUAGAGAUGAGGUCCUGCUAUGUUGCCCAGGCAGAUCUUGAACUCCUGGCUUCAAUUGAUCCACCCAUCUGGACCUCAAAAAGUGCUGGGAUUACAGGCAUGAGCCAGUAGGACUGGCCAUAAGUAGUUAAGUUUAAAAGUGAGUGGCUAUACAAGGGAUCCCAAGAAAAUGGGUUAAUCCAGUUUGAGAUAGAGUAGGUAGAGAAGACCUUGACAUACCUUGUAAUGCUAGAAAAUAAGAAUGUGAUCAAAAAAUGAUUAGGGCAUGUCACAAAGACAAAGAAGCCAAAUCUGGGAUAAUAUGAGUACACACGUAAUUAGAGUAAAUAUUUAAACAUUUCCAAGAUGGUAAUUAUUUAUACAUUUACAAAAAUCCAUUUAUUCAAAGUUGGAAAUCAUUUAUAUAUUUAUUAUCUGCAUAGAGAUAACAAUAAUAAAUAGGUAUAGAAAAAAGACAAUUAUACAGUAUGAAAUAAUAAAUAUAUAAAUAAAUAAAUAAUGGGGAGGGGAAUGCUCUUGUUUUACAGUAACAUUGCUAUCAUAAAUGUGUAUCAACACUGACUUGAUAGAUAUUGUAUACUUCCAGGCGUGUUACUCCAAAAAGGACACAACUUCACUUUUAUAGCAUUUUUUCAAAAAUAUAUAGUCUGGUUCUAAUCUUGUAAAAACAACGAACAGGGGAGCAAUCUUCUUCCAAAAAAGAACACUAUAAAAGAAAAAAUAAGAUGUGUACAUAUUCCAGAUUUUAAAAGGCAAAAUUUUUGACUAAUAAAUGAAAUACUUGACCUGAUACCAUAUUCGAUAUUGGAGGACAAAUGUAGCAAAGAAGUAUUUGGGAAUUAAAAUCUAUGUAACUUACUCUAAAAUGGUACAGAGAUAUAGAUAGAUAGAUGGAGCUAGAGUAGAAAUAGAGAUAUGAUUUAUGCAAGUUAUUUUCAUAUAGAUGAAAGAGAGAAGAAUGAUAAAAUAUUAACAAUAGGUGAAUCUGUGUUUAGGUACGUAAACAUAUGUUUCUCAUUUUUCCAACUGUUUUAAAAUUUUAAAUUACCUCAACAUUUUAAAAAGUUAAAAAAGUGAUCUGCAGGCCAGGUGCGGUGGGGUGGCUCAUGCCUGUAAUCCCAGCAAUUUAAGAGGCAGAGGCAGGCGGAUCACGAGGUCAGGAGUUCAAGACCAGCCUGCCCAGCAUGGUGAAACCCCAUCUCUAUUAAAAAUACAAAAAAUUACCCGGGCUUGGUGUAGAGCGCCUAUAAUCCCAGCUACUCAGGAGGCUGAGGCAGGAGAAUUGCUUGAAUCUGGGAGGUGAAGUCUGUAGUGAGCUGAAAUAGCACCACUGCACUCCAGCCUGGAGACAGAGCAACCUCUGUCUCAAAAAAAAGAAAAAAAGAAAAAAAAAAACUGCAGAGAAGUAAAGGUACAUGCUGUCAUUGUAAUUAUCAGUAUAACCAAGAGACAAAACUAAAAAGAAAAUUUUAAGUAAGGAGAUGAGUUGGGAGGGUGAUAUCACUGAUUUAAAUCCACAUCUAUUCUAGCAGGAGGUUAAGAAGAAGAAAAAAUAAAACUCUAAGCUCUAAACUCUAACAAACCAAAACCAAAUCACAACAUCACCAUAUUUUGGGGUAUCAGUGUUUACAGCCAAAGAGCUGCUCUCUUUCAGAAGCAGCAAUAUGAAUGGGAAAGAUUUAGACAAGGCACUACUGCACUUCACUGAAUCAUUAUUAUAAAUCUAAAUAUAUACGCAUAUACUCAAAAGCAAUCAAACUAUUCUGAAAGAUGGUGGUGGCCAUGGAGACAGAGAGAUGUGAAUUAUUUGAAAUAUAUUUGGGAAACUACAUUGAUAGAAAUUGGAAGCAAUGAGUGAAGUAAAAUCAGGCCUCUGACUUGGGGAAGCUGGGAGGAGAAUGGUAUGAUUCUCUAAGUUGGGAAACACCACAGAAGACAUAUUGUGAAGAGAAAUAAAACAAUUUAGUAUUCAAUCUACUGAAUUUCUGUUAUGUUUGAGGACAGGCAUUUCUUUUAGGAAGUUAGUAAUAUAGUUUGGAUAUUUUUUUCAUGCACAGAUCUCAUGUUUAAUUGUAAUUUUCAGUGCUGGAAGUGGGGCCUGGUGGGUGGUGUUUGGAUAAUGGAAGUGGAUCCCUCAUGGCUUAGUGCUGUCUUCAUGUUGGUGAGUUCUCAUGAGAUCUGGUCAUUUAAAAGUUUGUGGCCCCUCCCCACCCAACUUUCUCUCUGGCUCCUGCUUUUGUCAUGUGGUAUGCCUACUCUCAUUUGCCUUCCACCAUGAUUGUAAGCUUUCUGAGGCUUCCCUAAAAGCAGAUUUUGGCAUUAUGCUUUCUGUACAGCCUGCAGAACGAUAAGCCAAUUAAACCUCUUUUCUUAUAAAUUAUCUAGUCUCAGGAAUUUCUUUACAGGAAUGCAAGUAUUGCCUAAUACAGAAAAAUGGUGCUGAUGAAUGGGGCAUUGCUAUAAAGGUACCUGAAAAUGUGGAAAAGACUUUAGAACUGAGUAAUGGGCAGAGGUUGGAAGAGUUUGGAGGGCUCAGAAGAAGAUAGGAAGAGGAGGAAAAGUUUAGAACUCCUUAGAGAACUGGUUAAAUGGUUGUGAUCAAAACGCUGAUGGUAAUAUGGACAAGUGAAGUCUAGGCCAAAGAGGUCUCAGAUGUAAAUGAGAAAACUACUGGGAACUAGAGCAAAGGUCAUACAUGUUAUGCCUUAGCCAAGAGCUUGGCUGCAUUCUGUUGUUGCUGUAGGGAUCUGUGGAAGUUUGAACUUAAGAGUAAUGAUUUAGGAUAUCUAGCAGAAGGAAUUUCUAAGCAGCAAAACAUUCAAGAUUUGACCUGGCUGCUUCUAACAACACACUCUCAGAUCAGGGAGCUAAAAAAAUGGUGUAAAGCUGGAAUUUAUAUUUAAAAGUUAAGCAAAGCAUUAAAAAUUUGGAAAAUUUGCAGUCUGGCCAAGUGGCAAAGAAAGAAAAAGCUUUUUCAGGGGAGGAAUUGAAACAGGCUGUGGAACAACCACUUAUGUAAAAGAUUUAUGUAAAUAAAAAGGAGCCAAGUGCUAAUAUCUAAGACAAUAAAGAAAAGGUCUCAAAGGUUUUUGGGAGACCUUUGGGACAGCCCAGAGGCCUAGAAGGAAAUAAUGGUUUUGUGGGCCCGUCACAGGGGCUCUCUUCCCUCCUCAGCCUUGGGACACUGUUCCUUGCCUCCUGGCAGCUUCAGCACUAGCCAGGGCUCAACAGGGAACAGGUGCAGCUUAGAAUGCCACUUUGGAGAAUGCAAGCCAUAGCCUUGGUGACUUCCACAUAGUGUUAAGCCUCUAGGUGCACAGAAUGCAAGAGUGAAGAAUACUUGUCAGCCUCUGCCUAGAUUUCAGAAGAUGUAUGAGAAAGUCUGGGUGCCCAGGCAAAAGCCUGCUGCAGGAUUAGAACCUUCACAGGGAACCUCUACUAGGGCAGUUCCAAGGGGAAAUGAAGGAUUGGAAGCCCACACAGAGUCCCCUAUGAGGCACUGCAUAGUGGAACUGUGAAAGGAGGGUCAUCAUCUUCCAACCCCAGCAGCUUUCAUCCUGCAUCUGGAAAAGCCACAGCACUCAACAACCUGUGAGAUCAGCCUAGGGUGCAGAACCCUGCAAAGUCACAGGGACAGAGUUGCCCAAAGCCUGGGGAGCCCAUCCCUUGCAACAGUGUGCUCUAGAUGUAGGAUAUGGAGUCAAAGGAGAUUAUUUUGGAGUCUUAAGAUUUAAUGAGCAAGCCUGGCGCGGUGGCUCAUACCUGUAAUCCCAGCACUUUGGGAGGCCAAGGCAGGCGGAUC